CGGGAAUCCUGGGGCCCGCCCCGCCCCCGGCCCCGCGCCCGCCAAUGAGCUCGGCCCGCAGGGGCAGCGCCGGCCAAUCACGUGCCGGAGUGCCCGCCAGGCCCCGAGCGGGCAGCCAAUAGGAGGCUACUUCGGCGCACGCCCGCCCCGAUCCUUCGGGAGCCAACGGCCGGGAGCCGCGCGCUGCCGGCCCCGCGGGGCGAGGGCAGCCGAGCCGGGCCGGGCCGGGCCGGGGGCCGGAGUCGGCGGGGGUCGGGCGGCAGCUCGGCGCGGGGACGCCGGGGGGCGGGCGGAGGCGGCAGCGCGGCACGGCCACCGCCGGGCGCCUCGCCCUCCGCGCGCUUGGACUCGGCCCGGGAAAGUUCCCGCAGGACGGGGCGCGGGCUGCGCGCACGUGGGCGCCGCUGCAGGGACGCCCCGCGGGCGUCGGCGCCCAGGUGCCGCACCUGCCUGCCCGGGGCGCGCCCGCCGACGCGCGUCUCCGCCCUUGCCAGCCGCCGGAGCCCGGGCGUCCGGAAACCGCUUCCUUCUGUCCCGCCCCAGGACGCAGGCCGUCUUGCCACCCAAAACUUUUCUUUCUGGAAGGAAGGAAGUUGCAUUCAAGUGCUGUCACCUUAAGAUUACUUCAUCAGUGAGUAUAACAAAUAACUGGAUUCACUUCUUCUGGAUUCUCACUAUUGAUAUGCCUCUGGAAUUUCUGCGUGUUUUGGACAAAUCAAUGUUUCAGGUGGCGUUUGUCCAAAGUUGUCUGAAAAUAAAUACAGCAAUACGAGUUGGAUUUUCAUUCACUUCUUUUCAUUCGGAAAGAGCCUUGCCGCAUGUCCCCACGGUGGAUCCUCGUAACGUUCCCUCCAGAUGAGAAAAAUGACGAUAAGAAUCCUUCCUAAGACCUUAGAGCAAGUGGAUUUGGGGCCAAGUGACACCCAGUGCUGAGGCCAGCGCUCACACUUUCUCCACCAGGCCGUUCUCCCCCAGAGUGAGCCCAGAGAUCUUUCAACCCUGCUUUAUAAGCCAGGCUCACGAAGGCUGAGUCAUACGUGGAAGAAACACAAGGUGGAAGGAGGCUGAGUCCCUGAGUCACCGACCCACUAGAAACAUCCACAUGGGACUGUUAGGGCUGUGAUCUGUGCCAGCAGACCUGUUGACAGCCGUCUGAGACAUAUCAAGACCCCCUGGGUACACCUAGGUCAGAAUCCGUCCUUGCCUGCCACUGACUGUGGGACUUUGGGCGAUUAUUUAACCUUUCUGAGAUAUUAUUUCACCAUGAAAUGGAGAGAAUCAUAAGACUUACUUCAAUGAACUGCUGGUAAAUUUAAUGAGAUAAAACAUACGAAGCCCUCGGGUGAUGUGAACGCCUAGAAAAACAGAAGUAACUGCGAGCACUAUUGCAGGCUGAGUUCUGUGGUUUCAGGGGCAUCAGAUACAUGCUCUUAAUUUUUUUUUAAGUCAGAUCCACAUGGCACACCCACUUGCUCUCUGUGGGAUGUCCCCGUGCGAAGGAAGCCUGCACAGUCUUGUCCGACUGUGCCAGCCUCCCCAGAGGACUGGGCCGGGCUACGGAGGGUAGAGCACACCUACUAGGGAAUCUGUUUGUCUUGAGAACACUCCAGUUUGUAAGGAUGGUUUGAUCUCAUCUCAACACAUCAAUCGGCUGCAUAGGGUGGGGAAAGGGGGGAAGGGAAGCAUCACCUUUGUAAACUCCUGAUUUUAUUUUCUCCAUUCUUUUUGAGAGCUUCUUCAGGCAGAAAAACACCUCUUGCUCUUCUGGAUUCUGAGGGCUUUGCUGUGUCACCAUUCAAAAGAACGUGAUGCUGGCUUUGAAGGUAAUUCCAAAAGAGGAGUUUCUGAAAAUAUUCAGACAAUGAUAACAUCAAUCGAAUUAGCCCACAGCCUCUAAAGGUGACUGCUGUAAGUGAAACACGUUUAUCUGGAUGCAUAAAUUCUGGCGUGCCUGUAGAAGUCAG
rnacentral:lncRNA from 1 species